rnacentral:rRNA from 1 species
GACGAACGCUGGCGGCGUGCCUAAUACAUGCAAGUCGAGCGGACAGAAGGGAGCUUGCUCCCGGAAGUUAGCGGCGGACGGGUGAGUAACACGUGGGCAACCUACCCUGUAGAUUGGGAUAACAUCGAGAAAUCGGUGCUAAUACCGGAUAAUCAUUUGAAGUGCAUGCUUCGAAUGUAAAAGAUGGCUCCGGCUAUCACUACGGGAUGGGCCCGCGGCGCAUUAGGUAGUUGGUAAGGUAAUGGCUUACCAAGGCAACGAUGCGUAGCCGACCUGGGAGGGUGAUCGGCCACACUGGGACUGAGACACGGCCCAGACUCCUACGGGAGGCAGCAGCAGGGAAUCUUCCGCAAUGGACGAAAGUCUGACGGAGCAACGCCGCGUGAGUGAUGAAGGUUUUCGGAUCGUAAAGCUCUGUUGUUAGGGAAGAACAAGUGCCGUUUGAAUAAGGCGGCACCUUGACGGUACCUAACCAGAAAGCCACGGCUAACUACGUGCCAGCCGCCGCCGUAAAAC